rnacentral:rRNA from 1 species
GACGAACGCUGGCGACGUGCCUAAUACAUGCAAGUAGAACGCUGAAGGAGGAGCUUGCUUCUCUGGAUGAGUUGCGAACGGGUGAGUAACGCGUAGGUAACCUGCCUGGUAGCGGGGGAUAACUAUUGGAAACGAUAGCUAAUACCGCAUAAGAGUAGAUGUUGCAUGACAUUUACUUAAAAGGUGCAAUUGCAUCACUACCAGAUGGACCUGCGUUGUAUUAGCUAGUUGGUGAGGUAACGGCUCACCAAGGCAACGAUACAUAGCCGACCUGAGAGGGUGAUCGGCCACACUGGGACUGAGACACGGCCCAGACUCCUACGGGAGGCAGCAGUAGGGAAUCUUCGGCAAUGGACGGAAGUCUGACCGAGCAACGCCGCGUGAGUGAAGAAGGUUUUCGGAUCGUAAAGCUCUGUUGUAAGAGAAGAACGAGUGUGAGAGUGGAAAGUUCACACUGUGACGGUAUCUUACCAGAAAGGGACGGCUAACUACGUG